GACGAAGAACGUAGCGAAAUGCGAUACGUAAUGUGAAUUGCAGAAUUCAGUGAAUCAUCGAAUCUUUGAACGCAUAUUGCGCUCUCUGGUAUUCCGGAGAGCAUGCUUGUUUGAGUAUCAGUAAACACCUCAACUCCCUUUUCUUUUUUGAAAUGGGAGCUGGACUUGUGUGAUCCCAACACUUUUCUCACUGGAAAGUGGCGGGUCACUUGAAAUGCAGGUGCAGCUGGACUUUUCUCUGAGCUAUAAGCAUAUCUAUUUAGUCUGCCUAAAAAACAGAUUAUUACCUUUGCUGCAGCUAACAUAAAGGAGAUGAGUUCUUGUGCUGACUGAUGCAGGAUUCACAGAGACAGCUUUGCGGCUGACUUUGUAAACUCGAUCUCAAAUCAAGUAAGACUACCCGCUGAACUUAAGCAUAUCAAUAAGCGGAGGA
rnacentral:misc_RNA from 1 species